GGUGGUUCAGUGGUAGAGCUCUUGCCUUGCAUGCAUGAGGCCCUGGGUUCGAUUCCUCAGCACCA
rfam:Dipodomys ordii contig_64949, whole genome shotgun sequence.